ensembl:lncRNA
GGCAUGUGUGGAUUCCAUUAACCAAGACAGAAAAUACGAGAGUGGAGACAAGGAACCCCCAGAACAUGAGAGUCGGUGUGUAAAACAACACUUGAUGAAUAAGUCCAGUCAGCAACAGGUUAUGAGUCAUCUGUGGAUCCCCUGCAGCUCCACUCUACUUAUCUUCUCAUCCCUGGGACCCAGGCUAAAAGGAGCAGUGCCUAUCUGGGCUAAAAGGACAAGGUGAAAAGGACAAACUUAAGAGAGAAGUGUGUUCUACGAGUCCUGAUCAGUCCACCCCUGGACACAGAAACUCUUUGGUUUCCCACCUGCAAUGCAGAAUUAGAAAACAUCCCUAAUCCUCCAGGAACAUUACAAGGAUUCAUUAAUUUUCAAAGAGGUUAGUAAUUUCCCCCAAGGUAUUUUCAAGGUUCUGUGUCCCCUCAGAAAAAAUAAAAACCUGCUCAAAAGUCUAAAUUUAUUUUUAGUUGUUAUUAAAAUCAUGACAUUGUACUUACUCAGAAAUUAAACCUGAAAACAUAAUUUC